UACGAAGGGGGCUAGCGUUGCUCGGAAUCACUGGGCGUAAAGCGCACGUAGGCGGAUCUUUAAGUCAGAGGUGAAAUCCUGGAGCUCAACUCCAGAACUGCCUUUGAUACUGAAGAUCUUGAGUUCGGGAGAGGUGAGUGGAACUGCGAGUGUAGAGGUGAAAUUCGUAGAUAUUCGCAAGAACACCAGUGGCGAAGGCGGCUCACUGGCCCGAUACUGACGCUGAGGCACGAAAGCGUGGGGAGCAAACAGG
rnacentral:rRNA from 1 species